rnacentral:rRNA from 5 species
AGAGUUUGAUCAUGGCUCAGAUUGAACGCUGGCGGCAGGCCUAACACAUGCAAGUCGAGCGGUAGCACAGAGAGCUUGCUCUCGGGUGACGAGCGGCGGACGGGUGAGUAAUGUCUGGGAAACUGCCUGAUGGAGGGGGAUAACUACUGGAAACGGUAGCUAAUACCGCAUAACGUCGCAAGACCAAAGUGGGGGACCUUCGGGCCUCAUGCCAUCAGAUGUGCCCAGAUGGGAUUAGCUGGUAGGUGGGGUAACGGCUCACCUAGGCGACGAUCCCUAGCUGGUCUGAGAGGAUGACCAGCCACACUGGAACUGAGACACGGUCCAGACUCCUACGGGAGGCAGCAGUGGGGAAUAUUGCACAAUGGGCGCAAGCCUGAUGCAGCCAUGCCGCGUGUGUGAAGAAGGCCUUCGGGUUGUAAAGCACUUUCAGCGGGGAGGAAGGCGGUGAGGUUAAUAACCUCAUCGAUUGACGUUACCCGCAGAAGAAGCACCGGCUAACUCCGUGCCAGCAGCCGCGGUAAUACGGAGGGUGCAAGCGUUAAUCGGAAUUACUGGGCGUAAAGCGCACGCAGGCGGUCUGUCAAGUCGGAUGUGAAAUCCCCGGGCUCAACCUGGGAACUGCAUUCGAAACUGGCAGGCUAGAGUCUUGUAGAGGGGGGUAGAAUUCCAGGUGUAGCGGUGAAAUGCGUAGAGAUCUGGAGGAAUACCGGUGGCGAAGGCGGCCCCCUGGACAAAGACUGACGCUCAGGUGCGAAAGCGUGGGGAGCAAACAGGAUUAGAUACCCUGGUAGUCCACGCUGUAAACGAUGUCGAUUUGGAGGUUGUGCCCUUGAGGCGUGGCUUCCGGAGCUAACGCGUUAAAUCGACCGCCUGGGGAGUACGGCCGCAAGGUUAAAACUCAAAUGAAUUGACGGGGGCCCGCACAAGCGGUGGAGCAUGUGGUUUAAUUCGAUGCAACGCGAAGAACCUUACCUGGUCUUGACAUCCACAGAACUUUCCAGAGAUGGAUUGGUGCCUUCGGGAACUGUGAGACAGGUGCUGCAUGGCUGUCGUCAGCUCGUGUUGUGAAAUGUUGGGUUAAGUCCCGCAACGAGCGCAACCCUUAUCCUUUGUUGCCAGCGGUUAGGCCGGGAACUCAAAGGAGACUGCCAGUGAUAAACUGGAGGAAGGUGGGGAUGACGUCAAGUCAUCAUGGCCCUUACGACCAGGGCUACACACGUGCUACAAUGGCAUAUACAAAGAGAAGCGACCUCGCGAGAGCAAGCGGACCUCAUAAAGUAUGUCGUAGUCCGGAUUGGAGUCUGCAACUCGACUCCAUGAAGUCGGAAUCGCUAGUAAUCGUAGAUCAGAAUGCUACGGUGAAUACGUUCCCGGGCCUUGUACACACCGCCCGUCACACCAUGGGAGUGGGUUGCAAAAGAAGUAGGUAGCUUAACCUUCGGGAGGGCGCUUACCACUUUGUGAUUCAUGACUGGGGUGAAGUCGUAACAAGGUAACCGUAGGGGAACCUGCGGUUG